UACGAAGGGGGCUAGCGUUGCUCGGAAUCACUGGGCGUAAAGGGUGCGUAGGCGGGUCUUUAAGUCAGGGGUGAAAUCCUGGAGCUCAACUCCAGAACUGCCUUUGAUACUGAGGAUCUUGAGUUCGGGGAGGUGAGUGGAACUGCGAGUGUAGAGGUGAAAUUCGUAGAUAUUCGCAAGAACACCAGUGGCGAAGGCGGCUCACUGGCCCAAUACUGACGCUGAGGAGCGAAAGCGUGGGAGCAAACAGG
rnacentral:rRNA from 1 species